rnacentral:rRNA from 1 species
CAGCAGCCACGGGAAUACGUAGGUGGCAAGCGUUGUCCGGAAUUAUUGGGCGUAAAGCGCGCGCAGGCGGUUUCUUAAGUCUGAUGUGAAAGCCCCCGGCUUAACCGGGGAGGGUCAUUGGAAACUGGGAGACUUAGAGUGCAGAAGAGGAGAGUGGAAUUCCAUGUGUAGCGGUGAAAUGCGUAGAUAUAUGGAGGAACACCAGUGGCGAAGGCGACUCUCUGGUCUGUAACUGACGCUGAGGCGCGAAAGCGUGGGGAGCAAACAGGAUUAGAUACCCCCGUAGUCCCUGUCUCUUAUA